GCCUCAGUAACGGCGAGUGAAGCGGCAACAGCUCAAAUUUGAAAUCUGGCUUCGGCCCGAGUUGUAAUUUGUAGAGGAUGCUUCGGCUUACGUACCGGUCUAAGUUCCUUGGAACAGGACGUCACAGAGGGUGAGAAUCCCGUUUGUGGCCGGCACUUCCGCCAUGUGAAGCUCCUUCGACGAGUCGAGUUGUUUGGGAAUGCAGCUCUAAAUGGGAGGUAAAUUUCUUCUAAAGCUAAAUACCGGCCAGAGACCGAUAGCGCACAAGUAGAGUGAUCGAAAGAUGAAAAGCACUUUGGAAAGAGAGUUAAAAAGUACGUGAAAUUGUUGAAAGGGAAGCGCUUGCGACCAGACUUGCCCGCGGAUGCUCAACCGGUCCUUCGGCCGGUGCACUCUUCCGCGGUCAGGCCAGCAUCAGUUCGGGCGGUCGGAUAAAGGCCUUGGGAAUGUGGCUCUCUUCGGGGAGUGUUAUAGCCCUUGGUGCAAUACGGCCCGCCUGGACUGAGGCCCGCGCUUCGGCUAGGAUGCUGGCGUAAUGGUCGUAAGCGGCCCGUCUUGAAACACGGACCAAGGAGUCUAACAUCUAUGCGAGUGUUUGGGUGUCAAACCCGUGCGCGAAAUGAAAGUGAACGGAGGUGGGAACCUUAGGGUGCACCAUCGACCGAUCCUGAUGUCUUCGGAUGGAUUUGAGUAAGAGCAUAGCUGUUGGGACCCGAAAGAUGGUGAACUAUGCCUGAAUAGGGUGAAGCCAGAGGAAACUCUGGUGGAGGCUCGCAGCGGUUCUGACGUGCAAAUCGAUCGUCAAAUUUGGGUAUAGGGGCGAAAGACUAAUCGAACCAUCUAGUAGCUG
rnacentral:rRNA from 1 species